rnacentral:lncRNA from 1 species
CCUGCUAACAGGCAGACACUGAGAGGUCAACGCAGGCAAAGGAAGGGGUCCUGGCUUCACCUCUGAGGCUAAAACCCUCUGGCGGGCGUGGUCACAACCAGUACAGGAAAUGGAAAGUACCUGGAUGGAGAAUCCACCAGGCAGCUGUGGGGACGAGAGCGGAGCAACCCUACUGCUGCCGGCUAGUCUGUCUAAACCAGAGCUGGAGAAAGGGCUUGGCUGACAGUCAGGCCCACAGUGCCAAGGAGAGCCCAGGUGGAUGGAACCAAGACAAAGGUACAGGAGCACAUGAGACCUGGACUCAAGCAGCGUGGGCCUGUAGGACAGCCAGCGACUGGCAGACAGGAACUUAUUGUAGAGGAGCACUUAAUUGAGACAUACUCUGUGGGAUCCUUGGAAAAUGUUUUUGGCACGUGAG